GAUGAACGCUGGCGGCGUGCCUAAUAUAUGCAAGUUGAGCGAAGCGGGGACGGGUGAGUAACACGUGGAUAACCUCCUAUAAGACUGGGAUAACUUCGGGAAACCGGAGCUAAACCGGAUACUUAUAGAUGGAUCCGCACGGCAUUAGCUAGUUGGUAAGGUAACGGCUUACCAAGGCAACGAUGCAUAGCCGACCUGAGAGGCUGAUCGGCACAUAUGGACGUAAGCCACAGUCCAGAAUACGACAGAGGGCGGCAGUAAGUAAUCUUCCGCAAUAGGCGAAAGACUUGCGGAGCAACCCCACGUGAGUAAUGAGGGUCUUCGGAUCGUAAAACUCUGUUAUAAGAGAAGCGCUCCCUAAUCAGAAAGCCACAGCUAACUACGUGCCAGCAGCCGCGGUAAUAC
rnacentral:rRNA from 1 species